AUUUUAUGGCCCAAUUUCUCACUAUUAACUAACCAUUAACUAUGACUUUUGCCUCAAUAAACUCCUAAUUUGCCGCUUAUUAACAGUUAGUGAGGUAGUACGGAAAUUAAGUUUAGGUAUGGGGUAGUAUUAGGGAUCUAAAAU